UUAUGUUCUGGUCCCUGCAGUUAGGAACUGUGCAGACUUGAACAAGUGAUUUCAUUUUUUUUUAAAGCUCUGUUUUCUCCUAUAACAGAUGUAGGAUUAAAUGGUGCAGGGACUACAGCGUGUGCAGCACUUUUAUAUUUAUAUAACCAUCACGUCGUUUUCAUGAUGGCACACGCCUAUCACACUCUCACAGUGAAUAUUGUUUGAGCAAGCAAAAUGGGUUUUAAAAAUGUCGUGGUAUAGAAAAAACAGAGUGGGAGCCAGGGGACAAAGACGCUUUAAAAAAGACGCCGUGCAGGCCGGGCGCCCUGCAGCUGAUGUGCGUCUUGGCAGAACACCCUGUGAUCCUCCCAGAACACAGGAGGCUUGUGGGUUGUUGUCACAGGCCCUGGCCCCAGCCUCUCAGCCUCCUGGUAGGCUGCCUCACACCAUGGUCCUUGGGGCGUCCAGUCUCUUAACUUCAUCUACAACAGAAGGCCUUGGACAUGAAUAAACAACUCCAGAUGGUGGCCCAUGGGCUCAUCCGGCUCCACCAGGCCUGUCCAGCAUCUCCCGGUGUGUAAUGGGUGUUUCAGAUGACAGUGGCCGGCAUCACAAGUUGAGAGAGAACGAGGGGCUUCCUCUUCUUCUGCUCCGGGGAGACCCUGUUAUGUUCUUGAGAGAUCAGCUGUGCCUUUAAUGCUGAGAUCGGGCGUUUCACCAAGGACUUCUCAGGGGCUGUGGCAGAAGCAUUUCAAAUUGUUUAGCUUUAUUUUCAGUUUUGGUAGGUAUCAACCAAAAUGCUCCCCAAAGUGACAGUAUUGAUUUAUAAUUCCAUUUGGAGCUACUAUUCUUUAAAAGAAGCUGGUGUGGGAAGAAAGCAAUGGAAAUGUUUGGAGAAUUUGCCCCCGUUGCCUGGGGCUCUGGACAGAAUUGGGUAACUCUGAGGGGGUGCAGGGGCUGGGGUGCACUGUAGGACAUUGACUGUGCCCAUGUUCUUUGAAAAAAUAUCCUUUUUUAUAGGGAGCCCCAGAAAUUUGUUCUUUGUUCACUUCGUCUGAACCAGGGCUCUCAACCUCAGCACCACUGACGUGGUGAACAAGAUGGUCUUUUGUUCUGGGGGCUGCCUUGGGCAUUGCAGGGCGGUUAGCUGCACUCUGGACUUUACCCACCAGGUGCCAGCACCCAGCACCAAAAAUGUCUCCAGACACUGACCGAUGGACCCUCCUAGUGGUGAGCAGUCUGGUGUAGACCAGAGGCGAGAAUGUUGCAGAUCUGUGUAUACACAAUGACAGGUCUGAGGAUACAGGCUGUAGUUCGAAUGUCUGUCCCCUCCCUCACUAGUUACAAUUUUCUCGUCCUUGUAACAGCAGGAAGAGAUGAGUAGCCAGGAGGGUGGAGAGGGUGGACAAAGGCUGUUAUCUCAGCAGUGAGUUCCUUACGAAGGGAUGAGCUCGGACCCCCUUUCUCUCUCUUUCCCACCCCUUGCCCUUCUUCCAGAGGAUGGUCCAGAAAGAUAGCCCCCCACCAAACGCUGUCACCUUGAUCUUGGAAUUUCCAGCCUUCAGAAGAGUAGGGAAAUUUAUUUCUGUUGCUUGUCUAUCACCCAGUCUGAGGGGUUCUGUUACAGCAGCAUGAAACAGAUCAAGACCAGAGAUUUGGGUCAACUCCUUAGACAUGGGCCACUGCAAAAGUUCUGAGACAGACUGUGUUAUAGUCCAUUAUUUCACUUCUAAGAAACAGUCGACAGCAUCCUUUCGAAUUUACCUGUGCAAGGUUCAGCUUGCCCGGCUUAUUGGUGUUGCUGGGAGGGCUUCAUCAGUUUCAAUCCACACGGAUUUUACAUUUCUUGAUUUUUGCCUGUCUCCAAACUUUUGUAAUGGCCCACGCAUGUUUGUACACUGAGAGGAGUAAACUGAUGUCACCCUGAAACCCCAGACCUCUGUCCCCUCCUGGGUCUCUGCUCAUUACAAGAUGCACCACCAAUUAUACAAAUCAUCAUGUGUCACAAAAGGCAAACACAGUAAUCAGGGUUUAAUAGAAAUUACAACGGUUUACUCUCAUCAAAUGAUUACCUUGCCAUCCAGGCAAAGAUGACAGCUUCUGGCGUGAGCCCAGCCGUGUUGAGCAGUUGACUACCGAAUAGAUGGCAGUUAUAUUUUAAUAUGAAUUAUUUGUACACAGCUUACGGAUUUCAUCCGACACAAACU